rnacentral:lncRNA from 1 species
UGGGAGAGGCUGCUUGCCAUGCCAGUGUGAUGAGCAAGGGCACAGAAGGACCAUGCUCAGGAGACAACGAGCAGAUGGGCCUCUCUGAAAGACAGGGCAGGUGAAAAAAAUGCUCCGCCUCUUUGCAGUCUUCUCCUGCUCCCUCCCUCUCUGGUGUGGCAGGUGUUCUACCACAGGUUGGAGAAGGAGACAAGGCGCUGCUGCAGGACACCCCCGGAAGGCAGAAUCAAGGGGAGGUUUCAGUGGGGUCUUUUUGGUCUGGCUCACAUUCAUAAGCAGUGACAUCAUUUAGCAUCUGCUGCUAGUCCAAAACCCACCAAGCACAUGUAUUUUGAAUCUUUUAGGUUUUUCAGUAUCUAUUUACUGAGUGUCUGUGAAAAUGCA